GGCUGGUCUGAGUGAAGUGGUGUUUACAACGAAUUGAUCACAACCAGUUACAGAUUUCUUUGUUCCUUCACUCCUACUGCUUCACUUGACUAGCUUUAA
rfam:Callithrix jacchus chromosome 14, whole genome shotgun sequence